UCUUACCUGCUACCUAGACACCCCCCCCCGCCGUCCCCGCCGCCCCAGCCUCACCUCCACACUACCUCCCCGGGUGGUCCAUAAAGGGGGCGGGGGAGGAGGGGGGCGCACAAAUAUGUGAGUAGAAUGUUCUUAUCUGAGCAUUCUAAUGCUGAUGUCACAAUCGCCACUGGUGACUGAAAGCGGUGGAGUUCUAGAACACUCACUUAGAUGUGUUGAACAUUCCAAAACAAAAAAAACCCUGCUGUUCAAAGGGUUGAAGGUGCGACGGUGGCCUGGGGAAGUCGGUGCCCCCCGUCCCACUCCCCUGUGCCCCCGUCCCAACCCCUUCAGUGACGGUUUCUUUCCGAGCGCUGAGCAGGUACCGUCACUCCCCAGGUAAACCUGGGACGUUUAGACUGGAUUCAUCGCUCCACUUCUCUAAGGGGCAGAAGGUGUUGGGAUCCGGUCCUGGAGGGCCGCGGCGUCUGCUGGCUCUGGGUCCCUUUCAGCAUCGGUGACUCAUUUAAGGUCUGUGAUUGGCUGAAGAAGAAUCCGCACGCCUUGUUCUCAACGCCCGAAUUGGCUGCUGAUUUAAAGCGAAUCACACAAAAAAAAUAAAUAAAUAAAGAGCCUGCAGACGCUGCUGCCCUCGGGAAGCUGAGUUUGACACCGCGGGUCUAAGAGCGCCAUUCUGCAGCAGCGGUUAGCGCACCGGGCUUCCGGCCAAAACGGGCCCCCGCGUGUGACACACUGGCGAAGGAGGCGAACGGGUUCCAGCAUGCACUGGGGCGGUACAGGAAAUGCACUCUCUCCAAAGAUGGGGAAACGGAGAGCGAAGGGGUGAAAGGUCAAAGGGUGCUGCGGUGGCAGAUUAUAACCCUCGCCCAUGCAGGGGGUCAUUGCGUCAGAGUGGGCUGCAUCUCUCCAUUAUUACAAGCCAUCCAUCCGUUAUCUAACCCGCUUAUUCCUGGUCAGGAUUGCGGGGUGUGCUGGAGCCUAUCCCAGCAUGCAGUGGUCUGGAACACACUGGCGGACGGGCACCACUGUCUUACAGCAUUACUGCUGCUUACGAGCACUGAAAACCCGACGCUGCAGAACCUCAAAGGGCCCACUCACAUUUCGGGUGGGGCGAAGUCGGGCCGGGACAUCUGGUAGCCGCACUUGAUCAUCUUGUAGAACUUGGUGUCCACCAGGAUGCUCGGG